GGGGAAUAUUGCACAAUGGGGGGAACCCUGAUGCAGCAACGCCGCGUGAGUGAAGAAGCUCUUCGGAGCGUAAAACUCUGUCCUAAGGGAAGAAGAAUGACGGUACCUUAGGAGGAAGCCCCGGCUAACUACGUGCCAGCAGCCGCGGUAAUACGUAGGGGGCAAGCGUUGUCCGGAUUUAUUGGGCGUAAAGGGUUCGCAGGUGGCCUUUUAAGUCAGAUGUGAAAGAUCAAGGCUUAACCUUGGUAAGCAUUUGAAACUGAAAGGCUUGAGUUAAGGAGAGGAAAGUGGAAUUCCUAGUGUAGCGGUGAAAUGCGUAGAUAUUAGGAGGAAUACCAGUGGCGAAGGCGACUUUCUGGACUUAUACUGACACUGAGGAACGAAAGCAUGGGGAGCAAACA
rnacentral:rRNA from 1 species